rnacentral:tRNA from 1 species
UGAAUGUAGCUCAGUGGCAGAGCAUUUGCCUACCAUGCAUAUACCCUGGGUUCAAUCCCCAGCGCAA